AGAGUGAGUUCCCGCUGUUAGUCCCAGCUUCUGCCAACCUAGCAGUUUGAAAACAUGCAAAUGUGAGUAGAUCAAUAGGUACCACUCCAGCAGGAAGGUAACAGCGCACCAUGGAGUCAUGCCAGCCACAUGACCUUGGAGGUGUCUACGGACAAUGCCAGCUCUUCGGCUUAGAAAUGGAGAUGAGCACCAACCCACAGAGUUAAACACUAGACUUAAUGUCAGAGGAAAACCUUUGCCUUUAGCUAUCACUUCACCUCUGUGCUGUAUUUUAAGCCUGCCUCAUUAUGUAAAACAGUUUUAUUACUCAUACUGGUUUUACUUCUACAGACACAUAGCUGUUUGCAUGUUGUAUCUGUGGGGAACACUUGUUCCAGAUUAUGUGGUUCUCCCUUGCAAAGACUAAAUGGCAGGGGAAUUAUGUCUACCCACAGAACAUCCAUGAACCUUCAGUUUUUAAUGCUGCCUGGGCAUUUCCUGCUCUCAGAUAAUGUGCAGGUAUCAGUACAUCUCAUAAAUGGAAGAAUGCUUCAGUUUUGAUUUUGAGCCAAACUACAGUAGCAUAGAUGUAUUUUCGUGAUAAAAGAUUACAAAAAGAGGAAGCACAGUGUAACUUCUAAUGUUUAGUUCCCCAUUUUAUUUCAGUGAAUUAUUUUAUCUAAGCUGUGCCACCACAAAUCUCAGUGACGACUGCAGUUUCUACCACAUCCUGGAAAAAAAGGUCAUUCCCAAAACACAAUAUGGGAAGGAAAUAGACCUGAUUAGUGCUUCUUCCCUUCUUUGAAGGGGCAUUCCUAAGUGACUUGAGUUUACUCAGAUAUAGAAUGACGAUUAAUCCUUGACAUAUGCGGUGGGUGUUACGGCCUGGCAGUGGGCAUUUCCCCUUUUCAAUAUCAACUUUAUAUAAAAGGAGCAAAAGAUACAGCUGGAGAGGAAACAAGAGCUACCACACUGCACUGCCACUGUGAUCCAAGUGAGCUUUACAGUUUCCUUUCAGGUAUAUGCGCGUAUUUCUAAUACUUCUUCCUAUCAAAGAAACUACCAGCAUUCCCAGUAUUGAAUCCAGCACCAUUGUUUCUACAACUACGAGCAGGCAGUAAGACCUAAUGCCUAGAAUUUCUGCUUCCAUGGGUAGAGACCGCUCCCCAGCUGUAUGAUCAAUGGUGAACAACUGGAAAACAAUAAAAAGCACAUGUCCACUCUCUUCGUUUUGCUGUUCCAUGGAGAAAUGAGCAUCUUCUCCUGUAGCACUUCCCAAAAGAAAUUCAGUAACAAAAGAAUGCAUUACCAUAUUUACCUUUGCUUGUAAAAUUUCUCUGAGAAAAGGAGACACUGCUCAUUAUGGAGUGUGAACUUCUUUGGGAUUUUUGUUCUAUUGAUAUUCAAAAAGAAAUUCAUUGGAGAAAAAUGGAUCCUCACUGCAAAGACUUUCCUUCAGUUAAUGAACAUUUAUUUAGAAAUUGAUUCUGUAUUGCACAACAGAAAAAAUAGAACCUGAGCAUUAUGCAUUAUGUAAUAUGCCUAGUAUAGUGAUAAGCCAAUUAGUAACAGAAGAAGACAUUUUAAGUGGGUUGCAAAUAGAAGACAUGGAACAACCUUGUGGGAAAAAAAACUAGCUGGGGUGUGGCACUGAAGCUGGGGGAGAUUUUUCCCCCAAUCAACCUCUGCAAUCAGUGUGUCAUGGUUGGGAGAUGCCAAAUGCUCCUGUAAAAAGUACUUUGAUAGGAUUGAAAGUUUGAUAUUUCUACAAUAUGCAUAACUAUUUAAAAUAUUUGUAACUAUUUCAAAUUCAGAAAUAAAAUGAUUGAAAACCAAA